CAACCAUUGAUUCUUAAGACGCUUAUAUCUCAAGCAUGACCUCCAAGGUCCUCAAAAUUUUAUCUUUUAUUCCCCUUUUAAAAUUCAUUUUAAAAAUGUUUUUGAUGCAUUUUUUUAUUUUAUAUUUUUUUGACCUUUGUUGACUUCUGUUGGCCUUGGAUCAUGGUUGUUUUGAUCAUAAGUCUCAUCAAACUCAACGGAUCUGGGGUGUUUAUGAGGUGAAAAC
rnacentral:lncRNA from 1 species